rnacentral:rRNA from 1 species
GUACGGCGAGUGAAGCGGCAAAAGCUCAAAUUUGAAAUCUAGCACCUUCGGUGUUCGAGUUGUAAUUUGAAGAUGGUAACCUUGGGUUUGGCUCUUGUCUAUGUUCCUUGGAACAGGACGUCAUAGAGGGUGAGAAUCCCGUCUGAUGAGAUGCCCAUUCCUAUGUAAGGUGCUAUCGAAGAGUCGAGUUGUUUGGGAAUGCAGCUCUAAGUGGGUGGUAAAUUCCAUCUAAAGCUAAAUAUUGGCGAGAGACCGAUAGCGAACAAGUACAGUGAUGGAAAGAUGAAAAGAACUUUGAAAAGAGAGUGAAAAAGUACGUGAAAUUGUUGAAAGGGAAGGGCAUUAGAUCAGACUUGGUGUUUUACGAUUAUCUUCUCUUCUUGAGUUGUGCACUCGUAUUUCACUGGGCCAGCAUCGAUUCGGAUGGCAAGAUAAUGGCAGUUGAAUGUGGCUUCACUUCGGUGGAGUGUUAUAGCUUCUGCUGAUAUUGCCUGUCUGGAUCGAGGGCUGCGUCUUUUGACUAGGAUGCUGGCGUAAUGAUCUAAUGCCGCCCGUCUUGAA